UACAUGCAAGUUGAACGAGAUUAGUUUUAGCAAUAGAACUUUUUUAGUGGCGCACGGGUGCGUAACGCGUAUGCAACCUACCUUAAACAGGGGAAUAGCCUCUCGAAAGAGAGAUUAAUACCGCAUAAUAUAUAUUUGGAGCAUUCUAGAUAUAUUAAACCUACGGGGGUUUAAGAUGGGCAUGCGUGACAUUAGCUAGUUGGUGAGGUAAUGGCUCACCAAGGCAACGAUGUCUAGGGGGUCUGAGAGGAUGUCCCCCCACACUGGUACUGAGACACGGACCAGACUCCUACGGGAGGCAGCAGUAGGGAAUAUUGGUCAAUGGAGGCAACUCUGAACCAGCCAUGCCGCGUGCAGGACUAAGGCCCUAUGGGUCGUAAACUGCUUUUGAACGGGAAGAAAUGUAUCUACGUGUAGAUAUUUGACGGUACCGUUAGAAUAAGGAUCGGCUAACUUCGUGCCAGCAGCCGCGGUAAUACGAAGGAUCCAAGCGUUGUCCGGAUUUACUGGGUUUAAAGGGUGCGUAGGCGGACUUAUAAGUCAGUGGUGAAAGCCUUCAGCUUAACUGAAGAACUGCCAUUGAAACUGUAAGUCUCGAGUUCGGUUGAGGUCAUUGGAAUGUAACAUGUAGCGGUGAAAUGCAUAGAUAUGUUACAGAACACCAAUUGCGAAGGCAGAUGACUAAACCGAAACUGACGCUGAGGCACGAAAGCGUGGGGAUCAAACAGGAUUAGAUACCCUGGUAGUCCACGCCCUAAACGUUGAAUACUCGACCUUAGCGAUAUACAGUUAGGGUCCAAGCGAAAGCGUUAAGUAUUCCACCUGGGAAGUACGUUCGCAAGAAUGAAACUCAAAGGAAUUGACGGGGGCCCGCACAAGCGGAGGAGCAUGUGGUUUAAUUCGAUGAUACGCGAGGAACCUUACCUGGGCUUGAAAUGUAGUGAUCGAUGCAGAAAUGCAUAAUUCCUU
rnacentral:rRNA from 1 species